GGCGCCUUUCAGUGGCGCGUUUUAUGAGAGGUGGAAGUUCUGGGGCCACCUAUUCUGUCCCUUGGAGGAAAAUAUAAGCGGAGACACAACGUUGGCCCUCUUUCUGUCCUGCAGCUUGAAAGGGAAUAAAUAAACUCAUCUCUUUCAUGGGCAUCCGUCUGCUCUGACGACUAGGUCCACCAUCAUAACCUGGCACACAAGCUGUUCAGGAGCUGGAAUGUUAUGUCCCCAAGCCCAUAUCUUACUCCAUGUGUCACUCCAAACUCCUUGCGGUUCUUGGAACCUGUGCUUCUCAGAACACGAUGUGCCAUUGGCUCAGUGUCCCCCGUGGGUAGUCAAGGUGAGCUUUAUCUGCCUGCAGCCUCCACCCCACCUCUUCCUUCACUGUGUCACCCCCAGUGCACACACAUUAUUUGUGCCCAAUUGUGUGUUCAGCCAUCAGAUCUCAGAAGAAGCGCUCAUGCCUCCAGGAAGUAUCUCCUGAGUUAGGCACCCACUUGGAGAUGAGGGGAGAAGUGAGGGAUCUCCAGGCUUUGGGUUCUAGAAAGACAGAAAUUUAGACUCAUGACUUCUGUCCACAGCUGGGGUUAUGGAACAACUCUUGAAAUAACAGGAGGAUGGAAAAGUCUCCCAUAGGGUCAGCAAAGAAGCUUGCGAUUCAUCUGGGACAUGGUCUAAUUAAAGAAUGAUGGUGCAUGCCUGGGAUUCCAUCACGUGGGAGGCUGAAGUGGAGUCUAUGAGUUUGAGGCUAUCCUUGACUACAUAGGAAGGCUACAUAGCAGGACUGUGUCUCAAAAUAAAACAAAAAGCAAACUAACAUGCAAAAAGAAUAUCUGCUGGAGAAAUCAAACUUCUGUGCCCACGCAGCAAUGUGAGGUCCCAGUUGGCACUACUCAUGUGAGAAGAGUCCUGAAGUGACAGAAUAUGAAAACUGAUUCCAAAGUGCUGGUCCUCCUAGAAACAAAUCUAAAAUGCAGGUUAUUCUGAUCUUUAGCAAAAUAAGUAACUCCCAUUGAAGAUUAUGAAUUUAUAAUAAGAAACUAUAAACCAAGCCAGGUUUUAUGGUACAUAUUUAUAAGCCCAGCUACUUAAGAAGCUGAGACAGGAUGGCAAGUUCAAGGCCUGCUUGGGCUCCAGAAUGAAUUCAAAGCCAUUCUCAAAGAAGUUUUUAAGGGCUAGGGAGAUGGUUUAGUUAGUAAAGUGCUUGCCUUGUGUGGGAGUUUGAAUGUAUGGCCUCCAUAGACUCAGGUGUUAAAACUAAACUUGUAACUUGGGAUGGCUGAAGAAGGUGGCACUGGGAUGGAUCCUGGUGUCCAGCCCAACGGUGUGCAGAGAAGACUGAGUUCUGACAGCCCCUGCUUGCUACAGGCUUGGGCUUGCUCCUUCUGGUGUUUGCUGGCUGUUAGGUUGUUUCUCUGUACUUGAAUAUAUGGAAGCAGCUUCUUCCACCAUUGAUGGACCGUCCCCUGGAUCUGUAAACUUGCAAUAAAUCUCUUCCUCCAUGAA